rnacentral:rRNA from 1 species
AAGCGACCGCUGUUGGAGUUCGAUUAAGCCAUGCGAGUAGAAUGAAAUUAGAUUCAUUGCAAACUGCUCAGUAACACGUGGAUAACCUGCCCUAUGCUCUGGGAUAACCUCGGGAAACUGAGAAUAAUACCGGAUAGAUCACAACGCCUGGAACGGUGUGUGGUUGAAAGGUUACGGCAUAGGAUGGGUCUGCGGCGUAUCAGGUUGUAGGGGGUGUAAUGGACCCCCUAGCCAUCGACGCGUACGGGUGUUGGGAGACAUAGCCCGGAGACGGAUUCUGAGACACGAAUCCGGACCCUACGGGGUGCAGCAGGCGCGAAAACUUCACACUGCAGGAAACUGUGAUGAGGGAACUCCAAGUGGAUGCACAUAGUGUAUCUCUUUUCUUUACUAUUAAUCGGUAUUGGAAUAAGGGCUGGGAAAGACCGGUGCCAGCCGCCGCGGUAAUACCGGCAGCUCGAGUGGUCGUCGCUUUUAUUGGGCCUAAAACGUCCGUAGCCGGUUUGGUAAAUCUGUGGGUAAAUCAACUAGCUUAACUAGUUGAAUUCUGCAGAGACUGCCAGACUAGGAACCGGGAGAGGUGUGGGGUACUCAAGGGGUAGGGGUAAAAUCCUGUCAUCCUUUGAGGACCACCAGUUGCGAAGGCGCCACACUAGAACGGAUUCGACGGUCAGGGACGAAGCCUAGGGGCACGAACCGGAUUAGAUACCCGGGUAGUCCUAGGUGUAAACGCUGUGAACUUGGUGUCGGGAGUCCGCAAUGGGCCCCCGGUGCCGGAGUGAAGAUGUUAAGUUCACUGCCUGGGGAGUACGGUCGCAAGGCUGAAACUUAAAGGAAUUGGCGGGGGAGCACUGCAACGCGAGGAGCGUGCGGUUU